GACGAACGCUGGCGGCGUGCCUAAUACAUGCAAGUAGAACGCUGAAGGAGGAGCUUGCUUCUCUGGAUGAGUUGCGAACGGGUGAGUAACGCGUAGGUAACCUGCCUGGUAGUGGGGGAUAACUAUUGGAAACGAUAGCUAAUAACGCAUAAUAGCAGUUGUUGCAUGAUAACUGUUUGAAAGGUGCAAUUGAACUGCUAACAGAUGGACCUGCGUUGUAUUAGCUAGUUGGUGGGGUAACGGCUCACCAAGGCGACGUUACAGAGCCGACCGGAGAGGGUGAUCGGCCACCCUGGGACUGGGACUCGGCCCAGACCCCGACGGGAGGCAGCAGUAGGGAAGCUUCGGCAAGGGACGGAAGUCUGACCGAGCAACGCCGCGUGAGUGAAGAAGGUUUUCGGAUCGUAAAGCUCUGUUGUAAGAUAAGAACGAGUGUGAGAGUGGAAAUUUCACACUGUGACGGUAUCUUACCAGAAAGGGACGGCUAACUACGUG
rnacentral:rRNA from 1 species